UACGUAGGGUGCAAGCGUUGUUCGGAAUCAUUGGGCGUAAAGCGCGUGUAGGCGGCUAAUUAAGUCGGGUGUGAAAUCCCUAGGCUCAACCAAGGAAGUGCAUUCGAAACUGAUUAGCUUGAAGAUGUUAGAGGAGGGUGGAAUUCCUAGUGUAGAGGUGAAAUUCGUAGAUAUUAGGAGGAAUACCGGUGGCGAAGGCGGCCCUCUGGGACAUUCUUGACGCUGAGACGCGAAAGCGUGGGUAGCAAACAGG
rnacentral:rRNA from 1 species